rnacentral:rRNA from 1 species
GGGGUGCACCAGGCGCGAAAACUUUACACUGCGGGAAACCGCGAUAAGGGGACCCCGAGUGCCAGCACCUAGUGCUGGCUGUCCAGCUGUUCAAAUAACAGUUGUUAGCAAGGGCCGGGCAAGACCGGUGCCAGCCGCCGCGGUAACACCGGCGGCCCGAGUGGUAGCCGUUAUUAUUGGGUUUAAAGGGUCCGUAGCCGGCCUAUUAAGUCUCUUGGGAAAUCUGGCGACUCAAUCGUCAGGCGUCCAAGAGAUACUGGUAGGCUUGGGACCGGGAGAGGUGGGAGGUACUCCAGGGGUAGGGGUGAAAUCUCGUAAUCCUUGGGGGACCACCGAUGGCGAAGGCAUCCCACCAGAACGGGUCCGACGGUGAGGGACGAAAGCUGGGGGCACGAACCGGAUUAGAUACCCGGGUAGUCCCAGCCGUAAACGAUGCUCGCUAGGUGUCAGGUGCGGUGCGACCGCAUCUGGUGCCGCAGUGAAAACUUGAAGCGAGUCACCUGGGAAGUACGGUCGCAAGGCUGAAACUUAAAGGAAUUGGCGGGGGAGCAC